CUCCAGCCCUCCAUCCCUCCUCCUGGGUGACAUUUCAGACGGGGCCCUGAGGGCAUUCGGAGGGGAGGCAUCGAACAAGAGGGUGGCAAGCUCCAGGAAUGAAGCAUGCGGUUCCACCUGGACAGAAGUUUAGACGGUGGGGUAUUGCGGGAGGUGAUCAUGGCUCAUGGUGAGCAGGUGUCCGAGGGUG